AACGGCCAUACCAUGCUGAAUAUACCGGUUCUCGUUAGAUCACCGAAGUCAAGCAUCAUUGGGCGCGGUCAGUCAGUUAGGUGACCACCGGCAACACCGCGUGCUGUU